rnacentral:rRNA from 1 species
CACGUAGGGUGCGAGCGUUGUCCGGAAUUAUUGGGCGUAAAGAGCUCGUAGGCGGUGUGUCGCGUCGGCCGUGAAAACCUGCAGCUUAACUGUGGGCUUGCGGUCGAUACGGGCAUCACUGGAGUUCGGCAGGGGAGACUGGAAUUCCUGGUGUAGCGGUGAAAUGCGCAGAUAUCAGGAGGAACACCGGUGGCGAAGGCGGGUCUCUGGGCCGAUACUGACGUGGAGGAGCGAAA